AUACUUUCGAGCAAUCGCGAGGAGAGAGUGGUGAGGGAGCUUUCCCAAGAGGUAAAGAUGGCCGAUGAUCGGCAGUGGAGUGGGGAGUGAUGGCGAUUGCGAUGCUACUCUCAGGUAGAACACGCUCGAGAAGACAACCAAGAUCAAGAGAAUUGCAAAACCAACUAAGAACUCCAUGGUCUCCAACGAGGUGAGCGUUCUUCUCUAUUAAAGUUCCAUUGUGGUACUCACUCUUUGUGCCAUAGAGUUUGUUCCUCCUGGUAUAAGGGGCCUUGCGAAUCUCAUGGUAUGCUUACUUGCGAAUCUCAUUCUAUUCGUUAUUCUUCAAGGAAAUGCUCUUGAUCAUGGCUAAGCAUCUAUAACAAUGAUAUAAUAAUGAGGAGUGGCAAACUUUCUGAUCUACCCAAUGGCAGCCGUCAGAUAAGAAGUAACUGUUAAGGGUUUAGUGGGUCACAUGUAAAGGGUUGACCGGCAUUAACAUUUAACCUUUUGCAAUGGAGACUUUAUCAUUUGGAUAUGAUAAUUCCCUCUAAUUUCCUUUAACGAAUUUGAUAAUUUCCUUUGAGGAAACACAUUUGUGGAAUAUUUAUUGUUUUGAUAUUAUUCUAAUUUGAGUUUCCAGUUUAACAAAAUUAUAACAUUCAAAACAAUGUUAACUAACUAGAUAUGAUUCGAGUCAUUAGAUUAAAGGUGGACCCUAAAAGGGUUUCAGUUAUCACUGGGAUUCUGUAACUCAAGGAUUAGCACAAUCUGUGAGGAGGACACUAACGUCUUGA
rnacentral:lncRNA from 1 species